CCAAAAGGAAAGAAUUCCACCUCAUCCCAUUUUAAAAACAUAUUUCAAUAAGCGCAAAUGCUUUCUUUUUCUUUUUUUUUUUUGAAGAUGUGAAAUCUUGUACUGGUCGUUGGUUGUUUCUCUUUCAGUACAAUCAGAAAAUAGUGGAAUACUGAAUUAUGGGAAGCUUCCAUUAUCUCAGGUGUCAACAUUCCAUAGGUUGGUGUGGGGGCAGUUUUUAUGUUCUAUAAUACAAAGCAUACUAAAUGGAAUAAAUGGAAAUUUAGAGUCACAGUUAAACAUUCGACUUAUGUCUUCUCUUUUAAGCAUUUUAAACUACCUCUAUUAUAUUGAUUUUUAGAAGAAUUGUUUUCUAAAGAAAACUGCUUCCUGAUGUUGGCGCAGGAUAUAAAGAAUAGGAUUUCCCAGAAGAAGAGACAUUUUUAUCCCAGUAAUCCUGCUGUGUUUAGUCAUUCCUCCCAAUGCCAGUGAUCCCUUAAAUCUGGGUGUUGUCCAUCAUCAUCCCUGCCCGUCUCCGUGCAUCCACAACUGCCACAUCCUGAGAGCUCAGUCCAUCAUAAAUGCAAUUAUAGCCUUUUACCUCCUCCUCACCAGAUACUCUCUACAGGGCAAGUUCAUCAAACUGUGUGCUUAGAAGCUCUGGAGCAGAACUCUCACCCACCAGAAGAUUGCCUCAAGAGAUAAAAGAUGAUUUACAACCCAAAGUAUGCCCACUAGAGGUUUUGGCCAUUUUUACAAUGUAUUCCUGCCCAUGAAGAUGCCAACUUGACUGCCCAAUACAUAAAGCACCAAAGCAAGUAUGCGGACCCCCCCACACCUCCUCACUUCUGCUCCUGUGUAGACCCCCAUCUUUAAAAGCACUUACUUUCUCCUGCAAAAGCAAAUCAGACCCUUACAGCAGGAAGGCUUUUCUUCUUCUCCUAAACUAGCUUUGGAAUAAAAAGUUAUUUUCUUUA
rnacentral:lncRNA from 1 species